UCAGGAUGAACGCUAGCGACAGGCUUAACACAUGCAAGUCGAGGGCGAGCAUAAAGUAGCAAUACUUGGUGGCGACCGGCGCACGGGUGAGUAACGUGUAUGCAACCUACCUAGUCAGAGGGGAAUAACCCGGCGAAAGUCGGACUAAUACCGCAUAAAACAGGGACACCGCAUGGUGAUAUUUGUUAAAGAAAUUCGCUGAUAGAUGGGCAUGCGGUUCCAUUAGGUAGUUGGUGAGGUAACGGCUCACCAAGCCGACGAUGGAUAGGGGAACUGAGAGGUUGGUCCCCCACACUGGUACUGAGACACGGACCAGACUCCUACGGGAGGCAGCAGUGAGGAAUAUUGGUCAAUGGGCGAGAGCCUGAACCAGCCAAGUCGCGUGAAAGGAAGAAGGAUCUAUGGUUCGUAAACUUCUUUUGCAGGGGAAUUAAAGUGCAGGACGUGUCCUGUUUUGUAUGUACCCUGAGAAUAAGGAUCGGCUAACUCCGUGCCAGCAGCAGC
rnacentral:rRNA from 1 species